GAUUGACGUUCGGAAUAAAAAAAGAGCGAACGUACUACCGCUGGCGCGAACGAAAGCUUUUAACAUAGCGUCAGUGAAAGGCGCCAAUUUCUUCCUUUUGUUGACGUUUGCUGCUGCUAUUUCACUUUCGCCUUGUACCUGUUAAAGGCUACUGUUUGGCUUGACCAAUAGAUGGCGAGUCGUUAAAUUUUAAAAAUAAUUAAAUUUAACAACCGCAACGCACCCCCGAAGAAAAAAUCGAAAUAGUCCAGGCGAAACUUGAUGAAGUCUUGGAAAUCGUUACAGAGUUGCGAAUUGAAAACAGUAUUUUUCGAGCGCAGAACGAAGUAAUCGUUAACGCCUUAGUCCAACAGAAAUCUCGGGUUAGCAGCAUUGAGAGACAAGGAAGCGAUGCACGGUCCUUACUGGACCAAUUCCCCAUUACAACACUGCAGGACCUUCAUAAACUUGAUGGGGACAUGACCUUGGAAAAUAAAGAGCAACAUAUUCAAGCAAAGAAGAAUCUCCUCAGACCAGACGUCCUGAAGGGUCUAAAAAAUGUUGUCGCCGACGAUGUGGUAAUGGGGAUGACGGCGUACGGGGGAAAGAGGCUUUUAAAAGUCUGAAAAACAUUUAUGCUGCUCUGCUUGAUUCUAUUGGUACUGGAUCCUCAGCGGAACACGAUUUGCGCAAAGCAAUCCAAGCAAGCCAGGCAUCGAAGAAGCGCGUUUUUAAAUUGACCAAUAACGAUUAAUUUUACUUAAUAAAUUAAAUGGUAUAAAUUUAAAA